rnacentral:rRNA from 1 species
AAAUGAAUUGACGGGGGCCCGCACAAGCAGUGGAGUAUGUGGUUUAAUUCGAAGCAACGCGAAGAACCUUACCAGGGCUUGACAUCCUACUAACGAAGCAGAGAUGCAUUAGGUGCCCUUCGGGGAAAGUAGAGACAGGUGGUGCAUGGUUGUCGUCAGCUCGUGUCGUGAGAUGUUGGGUUAAGUCCCGCAACGAGCGCAACCCUUACGGUUAGUUGCUACGCAAGAGCACUCUAGCCGGACUGCCGUUGACAAAACGGAGGAAGGUGGGGACGACGUCAAAUCAUCAUGCCCCUUAUGUCCUGGGCUACACACGUACUACAAUGGCGGUCAUACAGAGGGAGGCAAUACAGCAAUGUGGAGCAAAUCCCUAAAAGCCGCCCCAGUUCAGAUUGCAGGCUGAAACUCGCCUGCAUGAAGUAGGAAUUGCUAGUAAUCGCGAAUCAGAAUGUCGCGGUGAAUACGUUCCCGGGCCUUGUACACACCGCCCGU